rnacentral:rRNA from 1 species
ACGCUCGACACCUACGGGAGGCAGCAGUGGGGAAUAUUGCACAAUGGGGGAAACCCGUGAUGCAGCGACGCCGCGUGAGCGAAGAAGUAUUUCGGUAUGUAAAGCUCUAUCAGCAGGGAAGAAACUGACGGUACCUGACUAAGAAGCACCGGCUAAAUACGUGCUAGCAGCCGCGGUAAUCUGAGCGGGCUGGCAAGGC